AUGAAUGUGUCUUUUGUCCAGCUCGGCCGCCUCGGAUCUCACUGCCACCGGCCUUCACGCACACCCUCGCCACCAGCCUUUGCCCCGUCAGCCUCAGCCCCAGCUCAUUCUCUCAGGCAGUCCCAGCAUUGGCAUGGUACCUCCUCCCGCCGUGGGCCUCACGUCUCUGCUCCCUGUCAACCCUACUGCCAUCAGCAUCACCACAAGCGACUUGUCUGCCCAGGAGGAUGCAACACCAUCUACCUCUACCGGCCACCUUUCAGUGUUUUCUGCUUUCCAAGUAAAGACACCAGCAGUGCCCUCAGAGCGGACCAGCCAGAGAUUUUCCGAAGCCUCCCAUAUAGGCUCCUCCGUGGAGGAGGCCUGAGAUGCUGUCAUGACUUUGGAGCCAGGGUGGCCGACCACCUUGGCCUGGCCAUCUUUGGGGUGGGCUUUGGGAGCCCAGCACUGCUGCCGAGUGUGGUGGAUGAGAACGGCUGCUGCUUGCUGUACGUGGUGGAGCUGUGUGGCGUGGAGCGAGCCUUCAGAGCUGAGCAUUUGACCAACACCAGAGUGGUUCGGGAACAGGAUGCGGACAUUGUCCUCAACGACCAGCGGGAAGGGGGUGCUUUGCGAGAGGCUGCCGAGUUUGAAUUGUCAGGCUGCCCAGUCCUGCUUCGACGAAGCCGACGGACGUGGAAAGCCUUUGGUCUGUGGAUUUUACAAGUGGGAUUUUCCACAACGCUGCUGUGCGCGGCGUGGAUGCCACAUGCAUGUUGCUGGGGGACGCCACUUCGGACACUGUUUUCUCUGGGACAUGCCUUCUGCCCAGAUAUGGCUGCCUUAAAAGAUGCAGACACUGUUAUGAUCAGCAUGAAGUUUCCCUGUGGGGCUAUGGUCAGCGUGGACGUCAGCCAGCACCGUACAGACAGCUGUGACCAGGGAUUGGAGGGAAAGAACCUCCUGAAAUCACCAAAGAGCAGUUCCUCAGGGUCUUCCGGGUGGCUGCGGCCACGGAGCAGUCGUGGUGGAGCCGGUCAGCUGUGGCCCUGCCCUGCGAAUCGGCAGAGGCCUCCGUGGUGAAGACAGAAGCUCCGUGAACCAACCCGAGGCUGGAGACAAGAUCCUGCCCAAUAUCCAGUUGCCUGUUUCUCUUCUCACUGUUACUGAGAGAGGGAGACAGAACCUUCUGGCGAUCUUGUCCUCACUGGAGACUCAGAACAGGAAGCAUUGGGAAACCAU
rnacentral:lncRNA from 1 species